rnacentral:rRNA from 2 species
UUAAGCGACUAAGCGUACACGGUGGAUGCCCUGGCAGUCAGAGGCGAUGAAGGACGUGCUAAUCUGCGAUAAGCGUCGGUGAGGUGAUAUGAACCGUUAUAACCGGCGAUUUCCGAAUGGGGAAACCCAGUGUGUUUCGACACACUAUCAUUAACUGAAUCCAUAGGUUAAUGAGGCGAACCGGGGGAACUGAAACAUCUAAGUACCCCGAGGAAAAGAAAUCAACCGAGAUUCCCCCAGUAGCGGCGAGCGAACGGGGAGGAGCCCAGAGCCUGAAUCAGUGUGUGUGUUAGUGGAAGCGUCUGGAAAGGCGUGCGAUACAGGGUGACAGCCUCGUACACAAAAAUGCACAUAUUGUGAGCUCGAUGAGUAGGGCGGGACACGUGGUAUCCUGUCUGAAUAUGGGGGGACCAUCCUCCAAGGCUAAAUACUCCUGACUGACCGAUAGUGAACCAGUACCGUGAGGGAAAGGCGAAAAGAACCCCGGCGAGGGGAGUGAAAAAGAACCUGAAACCGUGUACGUACAAGCAGUGGGAGCCUCUUAAUGGGGUGACUGCGUACCUUUUGUAUAAUGGGUCAGCGACUUAUAUUCUGUAGCAAGGUUAACCGAAUAGGGGAGCCGAAGGGAAACCGAGUCUUAACUGGGCGUUAAGUUGCAGGGUAUAGACCCGAAACCCGGUGAUCUAGCCAUGGGCAGGUUGAAGGUUGGGUAACACUAACUGGAGGACCGAACCGACUAAUGUUGAAAAAUUAGCGGAUGACUUGUGGCUGGGGGUGAAAGGCCAAUCAAACCGGGAGAUAGCUGGUUCUCCCCGAAAGCUAUUUAGGUAGCGCCUCGUGAAUUCAUCUCCGGGGGUAGAGCACUGUUUCGGCAAGGGGGUCAUCCCGACUUACCAACCCGAUGCAAACUGCGAAUACCGGAGAAUGUUAUCACGGGAGACACACGGCGGGUGCUAACGUCCGUCGUGAAGAGGGAAACAACCCAGACCGCCAGCUAAGGUCCCAAAGUCAUGGUUAAGUGGGAAACGAUGUGGGAAGGCCCAGACAGCCAGGAUGUUGGCUUAGAAGCAGCCAUCAUUUAAAGAAAGCGUAAUAGCUCACUGGUCGAGUCGGCCUGCGCGGAAGAUGUAACGGGGCUAAACCAUGCACCGAAGCUGCGGCAGCGACACUAUGUGUUGUUGGGUAGGGGAGCGUUCUGUAAGCCUGUGAAGGUGGCCUGUGAGGGUUGCUGGAGGUAUCAGAAGUGCGAAUGCUGACAUAAGUAACGAUAAAGCGGGUGAAAAGCCCGCUCGCCGGAAGACCAAGGGUUCCUGUCCAACGUUAAUCGGGGCAGGGUGAGUCGACCCCUAAGGCGAGGCCGAAAGGCGUAGUCGAUGGGAAACAGGUUAAUAUUCCUGUACUUGGUGUUACUGCGAAGGGGGGACGGAGAAGGCUAUGUUGGCCGGGCGACGGUUGUCCCGGUUUAAGCGUGUAGGCUGGUUUUCCAGGCAAAUCCGGAAAACCAAGGCUGAGGCGUGAUGACGAGGCACUACGGUGCUGAAGUGACAAAUGCCCUGCUUCCAGGAAAAGCCUCUAAGCAUCAGGUAACAUCAAAUCGUACCCAAAACCGACACAGGUGGUCAGGUAGAGAAUACCAAGGCGCUUGAGAGAACUCGGGUGAAGGAACUAGGCAAAAUGGUGCCGUAACUUCGGGAGAAGGCACGCUGAUAUGUAGGUGAAGCGACUUGCUCGUGGAGCUGAAAUCAGUCGAAGAUACCAGCUGGCUGCAACUGUUUAUUAAAAACACAGCACUGUGCAAACACGAAAGUGGACGUAUACGGUGUGACGCCUGCCCGGUGCCGGAAGGUUAAUUGAUGGGGUUAGCGGUAACGCGAAGCUCUUGAUCGAAGCCCCGGUAAACGGCGGCCGUAACUAUAACGGUCCUAAGGUAGCGAAAUUCCUUGUCGGGUAAGUUCCGACCUGCACGAAUGGCGUAAUGAUGGCCAGGCUGUCUCCACCCGAGACUCAGUGAAAUUGAACUCGCUGUGAAGAUGCAGUGUACCCGCGGCAAGACGGAAAGACCCCGUGAACCUUUACUAUAGCUUGACACUGAACAUUGAGCCUUGAUGUGUAGGAUAGGUGGGAGGCUUUGAAGUGUGGACGCCAGUCUGCAUGGAGCCGACCUUGAAAUACCACCCUUUAAUGUUUGAUGUUCUAACGUUGGCCCGUAAUCCGGGUUGCGGACAGUGUCUGGUGGGUAGUUUGACUGGGGCGGUCUCCUCCUAAAGAGUAACGGAGGAGCACGAAGGUUGGCUAAUCCUGGUCGGACAUCAGGAGGUUAGUGCAAUGGCAUAAGCCAGCUUGACUGCGAGCGUGACGGCGCGAGCAGGUGCGAAAGCAGGUCAUAGUGAUCCGGUGGUUCUGAAUGGAAGGGCCAUCGCUCAACGGAUAAAAGGUACUCCGGGGAUAACAGGCUGAUACCGCCCAAGAGUUCAUAUCGACGGCGGUGUUUGGCACCUCGAUGUCGGCUCAUCACAUCCUGGGGCUGAAGUAGGUCCCAAGGGUAUGGCUGUUCGCCAUUUAAAGUGGUACGCGAGCUGGGUUUAGAACGUCGUGAGACAGUUCGGUCCCUAUCUGCCGUGGGCGCUGGAGAACUGAGGGGGGCUGCUCCUAGUACGAGAGGACCGGAGUGGACGCAUCACUGGUGUUCGGGUUGUCAUGCCAAUGGCACUGCCCGGUAGCUAAAUGCGGAAGAGAUAAGUGCUGAAAGCAUCUAAGCACGAAACUUGCCCCGAGAUGAGUUCUCCCUGACUCCUUGAGGGUCCUGAAGGAACGUUGAAGACGACGACGUUGAUAGGCCGGGUGUGUAAGCGCAGCGAUGCGUUGAGCUAACCGGUACUAAUGAACCGUGAGGCUUAACCUU